UACGUAGGGUGCGAGCGUUAAUCGGAAUUACUGGGCGUAAAGGGCGCGUAGGCGGCCUGUUAAGUCGAACGUGAAAUCCCCGGGCUCAACCCGGGAACUGCGUCCGAGACUGGCAGGCUCGAAUCCGGGAGAGGGAUGUGGAAUUCCAGGUGUAGCGGUGAAAUGCGUAGAUAUCUGGAGGAACACCGGUGGCGAAGGCGGCAUCCUGGACCGGUAUUGACGCUGAGGCGCGAAAGCCAGGGGAGCAAACGGG
rnacentral:rRNA from 1 species